GUGGGCGUAGCUCAGUUGGUAGAGUGUCAGAUUGUGGUUCUGAAUGUCGCGGGUUCGAGCCCCGUCGCUCACC
rnacentral:tRNA from 1 species